UUGAUGAUAGCUCAGAUAGUUGGUGGACCAUGAGACUUUUAAUCUCAGGGUCGUGGGUUUGAGCCCCACAUUGUGCAAA